UAUUAUAAAAUUUUUCGUACUUAUAAGUUAUAUUUUAUAAUAAAAUUUUAGACUUCACGAUUCACUCCGUUAAAUAUAAUUUAGAAUAUUUAAAAUUUUUAAAAAAUAAAUUUCGUAAUUUUUUAAAAUCAUCACAAAGUCGAUCAAGCUAGCAUAAAAUGAACGAUUAAAAUCGAACGACGUCCUAAAAAUAAAUGAUCGAAUUCUUCAAUUUAAGAUCGGAGUUAUUGAUCUUUAUCUAGGUAGUGAAUAAAAUUUUUUAUCAAAAAUUCAACCGAUUCGAAUUCUUUUUUACACUAUUAAACUAGCAAGUAUUCCUUACCGGCCGUUAAAAAUUGUCAAUUUUCUGACUUCUUGAUCGUAAGGUAAAUGAUGUCGAAAAAUUAUAAAAUUCGAUGUCUAAAAAUUUAAAAUGCUCUAAAUAAUACUAUAUAUAUAUAGAGAGAGUCCGGCUACUAUGCUAUUAAUAGCACGAAGCACUUGGUGCUAUCAAAUUUUCCGCCGUUAGAUAUACCAUUUUGAUAAUUUUCACCCGUUAGAUCAUGCUAUUCAACCAACCGCCCACUCAACCCUAGUGGGCCCAUAUCAUCCUAACCACACAUCUCUUAAUCCAAUGGCCAAAAACUUGGUAGCACUAAUGACUUGGUGCUAUUAAUAGCAUAGUAACCUAGUUAUAUAUAUAUAUAUAUAUAUAUAUAUAUAUA
rnacentral:lncRNA from 1 species